rnacentral:rRNA from 1 species
UACGUAGGGGGCUAGCGUUGCUCGGAAUCACUGGGCGUAAAGGGUGCGUAGGCGGGUCUUUAAGUCUGGGGUGAAAUCCUGGAGCUCAACUCCAGAACUGCCUUUGAUACUGAAGAUCUUGAGUUCGGGAGAGGUGAGUGGAACUGCGAGUGUAGAGGUGAAAUUCGUAGAUAUUCGCAAGAACACCAGUGGCGAAGGCGGCUCACUGGCCCGAUACUGACGCUGAUGCACGAAAGCGUGGGGAGCAAACAGG